AUGCACGGCGACCAUGAUGUAAACGGCGUAUGGAAAGUCGCUGACACCGCACUCAAGUGCACUGCCCAGGCGGCGGAGCAGCGACCCUCGAUGACUGAGGUGGUGGCGUUGUUGCAUGAGUGCCUUGAGCUUGAGGCUGCGCGUAACCACAUGAAUGUUGGAUUCUACACGGCUGGGAGCAGUGGUAACGUGGAUGGCUACGAUAGGUACGCCACUGACAUGUCUAGUGAUGUGAGCCAAAGCAGCUCUGCAUUUCAGAUGGAACAUUUGGGCAGAGUACCAACAAUGUCUACAGGUCCAGCUGUGAGGUGA
rnacentral:rRNA from 1 species